AGGUUAAUCUAUUUGUGAUUGCAAUCCUCCAAUAUGAUUGUCGAACAAGUUAAGCAGUUGGAGCUCGUGAAAGGAGGAAAAAAUGCUGAAAUUCAAUUGCCAAUUCACCAAUUCAUCAUAUUGUAAUGACCCAGCCCUUAGAGCAUUUUGGACCAGCCCAGAAGUUUGGGUCGUGCAUAGUGCAUGAGAGAGGGAAGGAAGAAGACUCCUAAUCGAAGUCUUCUUCCCUCUAAUCUCCAACAAGAUCGGGACAGAGUCCCCAUUAGGUUAGGAAAACCCCUUAUAGAAAGCCCUCUCUUCUCUUAGGUCUUCAUUAAGGAUUUUGGGAACUCACCGAAACAUCUUCAAGGAUUUUUUACGAGUUCUUGGAUGGGAAGAAAGGGUCAUCGGAGUUCUUUUUGGCCACUGGAGCUAGAUAAGCUCUUUCCCUCCCCUUUCUUUUUUUCUUGAUUGUCUUUCCAUCCUCGAACGAGUGACGGCAAGCCGUCGGAUUUGAACCAAAUAGGGCCAUCCCUAUUUUAUUUUGUUUUUCCUCGCAUGCUAUCGGUAACAGCUACCAUUGAGGCUGUCGUCGGGGUUGUGUGUUCACUAAUGUUGGGAACCACCAUGGGUAACUGAUGUCGGUCCUCCUUAGUUGCAUGUGGGGGGAGAGGAGA
rnacentral:lncRNA from 1 species